rnacentral:RNase_P_RNA from 1 species
UGAGACCUCUUGAUGGCCGCGGCCGUGAUCUUCAUUGGGAUCGGCUGAGGAACUUCCGGGCUCCAUACCUCGACGGGUAAGGGUGAAACGGCGGUGUAAGAGACCACCGGGCCUCUGGUAACAGCAGGCCGCAUGGCAAGCCUCAUCGGGAGCAAGGCCAAGCAGAUGGCGGUAAGGGCUGCUCGCCCAUGUCAUCGGGUAGGCUGCUAGAGCCUGACGGCAACGUCAGGUCGAGAUGGAUGGCCAUCCGUGCCGCGCGUUCGCGUACGGCAUGACAGAACCCGGGGUAUAAGAGGUCUCAUUUA